AUGCACAAGUGCAGUUCAGAGGAGAACUUGCUCGGCAACCAGGCGAGGCCCAACCGUGGUGGCAUGAAACAACAACAAGUGGAUCUAAAUCUUUCCUCGAUCUGGUGCAAUAAGAAGGCAAGAAGAGCGCCGGGGAAGAAGGAGAUGCCCCCAUCCUACAGCCCUCGGUCCUGCACCACGAUGGCAUCGUAUGGUACUGGCCAGCCAAGGCACGUGAUAUCCAUCUCUCCUUUUUUGUUUGUUCUUGGUGGAGUGCAGACGAGACAGCGGCGGCUCCCUGAAGUUGGAAUAAAGUUCUCUGUGCCUAGCCCCUAUUCUGGUGGUGCGUCUAGCGCUAUCGAAGAGCGUGCAGAGAUUGGAUCCUUCCAAUCUACGCUUCUCUUCAUUGACGGCAGUUGUGUUCUGGCCCCAGGGAAAAAGAAAAACUUCUCCGUUGGAGGAAAGUCGCGUGCCGUCUCGCCCACAGGUUAGUUGGUGCCCGCCGAAUUGUUUCAUCUUCGGUUGGUAGGAUUCUUCGGCUAUGGUUUGAUUUGCGCGUCCGCCUCCGUGUGCGACGUAAUCGUCGUCGAAUGCAUUGAGGCCUCUGCUGGCUACCACCGGCCGCCCUAUGAGACCCAUGUCUUGUCAUUGGAAGAUCCUCGAAGGAAUUGCACACUCUAAUAUGAAUCUGUUUAAAGUCCAAUCUAGUUUCUAGUGGUACCUAUGUGCUAAUAGGCCCGUUGGCAGCAAUGGCACAAGAGAGCUGGAAGGAGUCUGAGGAGACUGUCCAAACACCUGAGGCACCAAUAUUGUGUGUAAACAACUGCGGCUUCUUCGGUAGCAGCAUGACGAACAACAUGUGCUCCAAGUGCUACAGGGACUUCAUUAAGGCCACGACAAUGGCUGCCCCUGUAGUGGAGAAGGUGUUCUCAGUGGCAUCAUCUUCCAGUGUGACCUUGGAGCAAGCAAAGGCAGAUGAAGUACCAGCCGUGGCUGUAGCUGAUAGCCAAGCAGCACAGGAGCCUCCAAAGCCGCCCAGCAACAGAUGUCUUUCAUGCCGCAAGAAGGUAGGCUUGACCGGUUUCCAGUGCCGGUGCGGGGGAACAUUCUGCUCCAUGCACCGCUACGCUGACUCCCACGAAUGCACUUUCGACUACAAGAAGGCUGGCCGGGAGCAGAUUGCCAAGCAGAACCCUGUUGUGAUAGCCGAGAAGAUCAACAAGAUAUGAUCGAUAAUCACACUGGGUUCAUUUGCUUGCUAUUCGUGGUGGUACCGGAUUCGUCUUUACUUGAAUCAGUAGGUUUCUUCUGGUCUGGACUAGGUUGCUAGGGUCUCAAUUGUGUCUAUCCUUCUCCUUCAUGGUUCGCUUCUCUCCAUUAAGAAUGAAAUGAAAUAAUGUAAAUAUAUAAAAUUCUAUUGUUUUAGCUGUUCGUUUCGUA